GAGCCCCCUUAUUCCUCGCGUUUGUUUACCAAUGAACGAACGCGUGUCUACGGCAGAGUGGGGGGAAAAUAAAGGAAGCCAACGCGUAAAUAGAAGCAAAGUCAAAUUCAAAUUAAAAGCCACAGACGGCCAAGAAAUUUCCAGCGCAUUCGAUGUUGUACCCCUAUCCCUGAAGACAUGACAAAGAGUGUUUCAAAUGUGUAAAGCUGGUGAAGAUUUUUAUUUUUAAAAAAUAAAGCACGGGUGGUGUGUACUGGC